GGGGGACUAGCUCAAAUGGUAGAGCGCUCGCUUAGCAUGCGAGAGGGACGGGGAUCAAUGCCCCGGUCCUCCA
rnacentral:tRNA from 1 species